rnacentral:rRNA from 1 species
UACGUAGGGUCCAAGCGUUAAUCGGAAUUACUGGGCGUAAAGCGUGCGUAGGCGGUUUCGAAAGUCCGAUGUGAAAUCCCCGGGCUUAACCUGGGAACUGCGUUGGAAACUACGAGGCUAGAGUGCGGCAGAGGGGGGUGGAAUUCCAGGUGUAGCAGUGAAAUGCGUAGAGAUCUGGAGGAACACCGAUGGCGAAGGCAGCCCCCUGGGCCAGCACUGACGCUGAUACACGAAAGCGUGGGGAGCAAACAGG